rnacentral:rRNA from 1 species
ACGGGGGGGCACAAGCGGUGGAGCAUGUGGUUUAAUUCGAGGCUACACGAAGAACCUUACCUAGGGUCGACAUACUGGUGGUAGUGAACCGAAAGGGGAACGACGCUUCGGCGAGCCAGUACAGGUGCUGCAUGGUUGUCGUCAACUCGUGCCGUGAGGUGUUCGGUUAAGUCCGAAAACGAGCGCAACCCUCGGUGUGCGUUACACGUGUCGCACACGACUGCCCGUGAGAAACGGGAGGAAGGUGAGGAUGACGUCAAAUCAGCAUGGCCUAUAUCUCUAGGGCUACACACACGCUACAAUGGACGGUACAAUGCGUAGCGAAGCCGCGAGGCGGAGCCAAUCGAGAAAGCCGUUCGAAGUUCGGAUUUGCAGGGGGGCCUGGCCAACCCCGCCUGCAUGAAGCUGGAGUUGCUAGUAACCGCCGG